GAUGAACGCUGGCGGCGUGCCUAAUACAUGCAAGUCGAGCGAACAGACGAGGAGCUAGCUCCUCUGACGUUAGCGGCGGACGGGUGAGUAACACGUGGAUAACCUACCUAUAAGACUGGGAUAACUUCGGGAAACCGGAGCUAAUACCGGAUAAUAUAUUGAACCGCAUGGUUCAAUAGUGAAAGACGGUUUUGCUGUGACUUAUAGAUGGAUCCGCGCCGUAUUAGCUAGUUGGUAAGGUAACGGCUUACCAAGGCAACGAUGCGUAGCCGACCUGAGAGGGUGAUCGGCCACACUGGAACUGAGACACGGUCCAGACUCCUACGGGAGGCAGCAGUAGGGAAUCUUCCGCAAUGGGGGAAAGCCUGACGGAGCAACGCCGCGUGAGUGAUGAAGGUCUUCGGAUCGUAAAACUCUGUUAUUAGGGAAGAACAAAUGUGUAAGUAACUAUGCACGUCUUGACGGUACCUAAUCAAAAAGCCACGGCUAACUACGUG
rnacentral:rRNA from 1 species